rnacentral:rRNA from 1 species
AGAGUUUGAUUAUGGCUCAAGAUGAACGCUGGCGGCGUGCUUAACACAUGCAAGUCGAACGGAGAUAAACGGUGAAGAGAUUUCGGUCGAUUCCUGUUUAUCUUAGUGGCGGACGGGUGAGUAACGCGUGGGUAACCUGCCCUGUACAGGGGGAUAACACUUAGAAAUAGGUGCUAAAACCGCAUAAGCGCACAGUACCGCAUGGUACAGUGUGAAAAACUCCGGUGGUACAGGAUGGACCCGCGUCUGAUUAGCUGGUUGGAGGGGUAACGGCCCACCAAAGCGACGAUCAGUAGCCGGCCUGAGAGGGUGAACGGCCACAUUGGGACUGAGACACGGCCCAAACUCCUACGGGAGGCAGCAGUGGGGAAUAUUGCACAAUGGGGGAAACCCUGAUGCAGCGACGCCGCGUGAGUGAAGAAGUAUUUCGGUAUGUAAAGCUCUAUCAGCAAGGAAGAUAAUGACGGUACC